CGGUGUUUAACUGGCGUGAUGUGGGACGUCCUACCGGUGGGCUUAGCCUCGCGAGGGGCGGCCCAACUAAUAUCCCGUCGCGGUGCUCUUUACUGAGUGUCGAGUCGGGCCGGUACGUUUACUUUGAACAAAUUAGAGUGCCUAAAGCAGGCUAUCCUCGCCUGAAUACUGCGCGCAUGGAAUAAUGGAAUAGGACCUCGGUUCUAUUUUGUUGGUUUUCGGAACCCCGAGGUAAUGAUUAAUAGGGACAGAUGGGGGCAUUCGUAUUGCGACGUUAGAGGUGAAAUUCUUGGAUCGUCGCAAGACGGACAGAAGCGAAAGCAUUUGCCAAAAAUGUUUUCAUUAAUCAAGAACGAAAGUUAGAGGUUCGAAGGCGAUCAGAUACCGCCCUAGUUCUAACCAUAAACGAUGCCAGCUAGCGAUCCGCCGAAGUUCCUCCGAUGACUCGGCGGGCAGCUUCCGGGAAACCAAAGCUUUUGGGUUCCGGGGGAAGUAUGGUUGCAAAGCUGAAACUUAAAGGAAUUGACGGAAGGGCACCACCAGGAGUGGAGCCUGCGGCUUAAUUUGACUCAACACGGGAAACCUCACCAGGCCCAGACACCGGAAGGAUUGACAGAUUGAUAGCUCUUUCUUGAUUCGGUGGGUGGUGGUGCAUGGCCGUUCUUAGUUGGUGGAGCGAUUUGUCUGGUUAAUUCCGAUAACGAACGAGACUCUAGCCUGCUAAAUAGGCGUACCUUAUGGUAUCGCGAAGGCCCCCGGCUUCGGCCGGUGGGUUUUUACUACCAACGUACAAACAAAUCUUCUUAGAGGGACAGGCGG
rnacentral:rRNA from 1 species